rnacentral:rRNA from 1 species
UGCCAGCAGCCGCGGUAAAACGUAGGACGCAAGCGUUAUCCGGAAUUACUGGGCGUAAAGCGCGCGCAGGCGGGUUAUCAAGUCAUGUGUGAAAGCUCCCGGCUAAACUGGGAGAGGUCAGAUGAUACUGAUAGCCUGGAGUGCAUCAGAGGUAAGUGGAAUUCCGCGUGUAGUGGUGAAAUGCGUAGAUAUGCGGAGGAACACCAGUGGCGAAGGCGGCUUCCUGGCUCGCAUCUGACGCUGAGACGCGAAAGCGUGGGGAGCAAACAGGAUUAGAUA